UACGUAGGGACCAAGCGUUGUUCGGAUUUACUGGGCGUAAAGGGCGCGUAGGCGGCGUGGUAAGUCACUUGUGAAAUCUCCGAGCUUAACUCGGAACGGUCAAGUGAUACUGCUGUGCUAGAGUUCUGGAGGGGGUAGCGGAAUUCCUGGUGUAGCGGUGAAAUGCGUAGAUAUCUGGAGGAACACCGGUGGCGAAGGCGGCAUCCUGGACCGAUACUGACGCUGAGGAGCGAAAGCCAGGGGAGCAAACGGGG
rnacentral:rRNA from 1 species